rnacentral:misc_RNA from 1 species
GAUGAAGAACGCAGCGAAAUGCGAUAAGUAAUGUGAAUUGCAGAAUUCAGUGAAUCAUCGAGUCUUUGAACGCACAUUGCGCCCCCUGGUAUUCCGGGGGGCAUGCCUGUCCGAGCGUCAUUGCCGCCCUCAAGCACGGCUUGUGUGUUGGGCCCCCGCCCCCCGGCUUCGGGGGGCGGGCCCGAAAGGCAGCGGCGGCACCGCGUCCGGUCCUCGAGCGUAUGGGGCUUCGUCACCCGCUCUGUAGGCCCGGCCGGCGCCCGCCGGCGACCCCAAUCAAUCUUUCCAGGUUGACCUCGGAUCAGGUAGGGAUACCCGCUGAACUUGAGCAUAUCAAUAAGCGGAGGA